UGCCCAGGAUGGCGCUCAUUACG
rnacentral:miRNA from 12 species